GCAGGAAUGCACCGCGGGCCCGCUCGCACGGCUACGUCAUGGCCACCGAGCCGGCCGUUCGCAGCUCGCACGACGGAACCCCGCCAGCACAACUUCGCCACGGGUGUUCGCCUUCCAAAGGGCCACCCUCUCGGAGAAGGUCACGGCGUGUCACCCCCAAGAACGCCUUCUGCACAGAAUCCUAAGGGAGCACCGGGAGCAGCCUACUAAACGGAGUGAUGAGGAGCGCUUUGUGAAGUUUUAUGUGAAAUAUUCCUGAAGGAUAAGAUGCCAGUACGUGGGAUUUGUCUUGUGUCAAGAAAGUACUUUUGGAAGCCUUAAAAUAGCGUCAGCAUCCUUUUAGUAUAGUUAUUAAACAUCGUGGAAUUAUUUUUGCACUAUCUACUCAAAUAACAAGUCCCAACAGGGAAACUUACACAGAACAAUCUAUUAUGAUCAGUGCUUUUCUUUUCUACAAAGUCUGCAAGCGGAAAAAAACACCUACAGCUUUAGGAAAGCACAUAGCCUGAAAAACAUGUGAAGCAUUUGGUUCUGUUAGUGCUAAAUAUAGCAUUUUAAAACAAUUUAGUCUGAGCCUAAAGUAUUUAAUUGGAUUAUGUUACACAUGCAACACCUUAGCUAAAGUAAAGUCCAAUACCAGGGAGCGGUAGGCAUUUGGUUGCAAUUAUUUACAAUUUUACAACAAUGGCAGCUGCUUUAGAUAGGGAUACUUUAGAGGAAAAAAAUGCUAUUUAGCUCAGUAUGUUCCCGGCUAACAAGUAACUUAUAGUAAAACACGUUAGUGAUACUGUAACAAAUGCUUAAAAAAUUUCCCAUACUUUAAGUACCACAGACUUAAAAAAAACCCAAAACAUCAAACCCUUACAUUUCCAUCAUACUUUCUGAGCUCUAGUAACACUGAGUUUUAGUACAGCACUAUAAAUAGAAUGUUACAAAUUUUAGCACUUCUUAAAAAUCAUUUUAAAAGUAGCACAGCAAUGAAAGUAAGUCCUUACAAAAAUACACCUGGAUGAAUAUGUGUAAUACCCUUAGUUUAGAUAAGUAAUAUGAAUAAGUAUGGGUUUUAUCAGGAGGCAGUUAACUCUGGUCACUGAUGUCACUGCUGAAAACAACUGUCAUGCGGAAGACUCUUCAGAAGGUUUGACCGGUGUAACACAGCACUUCUUCCGAUUGUUAAUCAUUAAAAAGAGAAAAAGCCCUGCAGCGGGGCUGCUUGCAGCCACCAGGGAUUUCUUUCUAAGCUCUUCAUUCAAGAUGUUUCCAGAAGAGGAAGAAAGCUUUUAAAGUGUCUACUCCCCCAGCACAACAUUUAUUAUGACUAAUAUGCAUCUCAUGCUCUGAAUGAUAAAGAGCACAGUGAUUUGCUCUUUUCUUCUAAAAAUAUUUGCCAUAUUUUAUUUCUAGUCACCUGUCUCUUUUGGCAAUACUCAAACUAGUAACAGUGGUAACCAACUAACCCCACUCCACUAGAUAUUUUUCUAGUGACAAUAAAAAUUAUGCAGAUUUCUAAUUUAAUAUAUAUUUUUGCUCUCUUUACUGCGUAACCACAACACUUCUUUUAUUCACAUGAACCCUUUUUUAUUGUAGUUUUUAUUAGAUUCUGAUGCCCCCCUCCCCCAUAAAGUAGAGCGUCAUUUUAUUUAUAUUCCAAAAUGUAUGUAAAUUUACAUGCAGAAGAUAAAUAGAAUACAUAUCCCAGGGACUUCAGAAGAUAGUAUUCAAAUAAACUUUUCUUCAUUCCAGGAUUAAAAAACCUAUAAUAAUAAAAUCAUUAAAAGGUCCUUCAGGCAGAAGUGUCUUCUAAUUACAUUAAUAUAUAUAUUUGAAUUGUUUUACUCAAAUGCAAUCUAUUUACAUGAGAUUAAGUUCCUUAGUUAAUAAAGGGUCUGUGAAAGAUUGCAUGUAUCUCUUCAGUCCUAUUUUACACAUUUUCCUUCACAGAAAGAAAAUACGAAAUAGUACAGUUUGUUUCUGUCGCCACACUGUAGACAGGAGAGGUACCCAGAGCUUGGAUCUCCAGUGGGAGGGACAUUCCCCCUCUUGCUGCCAAGGGAGGCCCAUCACAAGCUGUGUGACAGCUCUGCCACCUGUGCUGGCCAGCCCCUGGUAGUGUGGGGCUACAGCUGGGUGG